AGUUAUAAGAGUGAGGGACUUCAAAAAGGCUAAACUGUCAGUUACUAUCAGUUAUCAGUUAUAAGAGUGAGGGACUUCAAGAAGAUGGUCUUCAUCAGGGCUCCUGGACUCUGGGAAACUUAUAUAGCCACCUAUCAGAGUUUAUCAGAAUGAAGAUGCUUUCAAAGAGGCAUGUUUGUCUGGAGGUUCUAGCAGGGAAGCUCAGCUAUCGUAUACUCUUGACCCAUGACCAAAGAUCGCUAUACUCCUAUCUGGAAUAGGGAAUGAAGUGGAGGGAGAGAGGGGACACCCACCUAGCCAGCAAGAUCAGCAGAAUAAGCCCUGACAAUCAAUGGGAUGAAAGAUGUUGCAGCCAUAUUGGAAGAUGAUGGGGAAGGAGUGGAGAGGGGAAGGCAAGGGAGUGGGACAAUGGUCAGAAUGAAGAUCCCUUCCAAGUG